GUUCAUGUAAGUAUCAGGGUUCGUACGGGUGCUUGAAAUCCUUGAAAAUGCUUGAAUUUUGAUGUUGUGUUUUCAAGGUUUG